UGUGGGAGCGGGCUUGCCCGCGAUAACGGUGUGUCAGGCAAUACAUCCGGCACUGAUACUCCGUUAUCGCGGGCAAGCCCGCUCCCACA
rnacentral:misc_RNA from 1 species